rnacentral:rRNA from 1 species
GAUGAACGCUGGCGGCGUGCCUAGUACAUGCAAGUCGAGCGAACGGACGAGAAGCUUGCUUCUCUGAUGUUAGCGGCGGACGGGUGAGUAACACGUGGAUAACCUACCUAUAAGACUGGGAUAACUUCGGGAAACCGGAGCUAAUACCGGAUAAUAUUUUGAACCGCAUGGUUCAAAAGUGAAUGACGGUCUUGCUGUCACUUAUAGAUGGAUCCGCGCUGCAUUAGCGAGUUGGUAAGGUAACGGCUUACCAAGGCAACGAUGCAUAGCCGACCUGAGAGGGUGAUCGGCCACACUGGAACUGAGACACGGUCCAGACUCCUACGGGAGGCAGCAGUAGGGAAUCUUCCGCAAUGGGCGGAAGCCUGACGGAGCAACGCCGCGUGAGUGAUGAAGGUCUUCGGAUCGUAAAACUCUGUUAUUAGGGAAGAACAUUUGUGUAAGUAACUGUGCACAUCUUGACGGUACCUAAUCAGAAAGCCACGGCUAACUACGUG